CAGCAGCCGCGGUAAUACGGAGGGAGCUAGCGUUGUUCGGAAUUACUGGGCGUAAAGCGCACGUAGGCGGUUAUUCAAGUCAGAGGUGAAAGCCCGGGGCUCAACCCCGGAACUGCCUUUGAAACUAGAUGACUGGAAUCUUGGAGAGGUCAGUGGAAUUCCGAGUGUAGAGGUGAAAUUCGUAGAUAUUCGGAAGAACACCAGUGGCGAAGGCGGCUGACUGGACAAGUAUUGACGCUGAGGUGCGAAAGCGUGGGGAGCAAACAGGAUUAGAUACCCCCGUAGUCCCUGUCUCUUAUAC
rnacentral:rRNA from 1 species